rnacentral:rRNA from 1 species
GACGAACGCUGGCGGCGUGCUUAACACAUGCAAGUCGAACGCUGAAGCCCCAGCUUGCUGGGGUGGAUGAGUGGCGAACGGGUGAGUAACACGUGAGUAACCUGCCCAUCACUCUGGGAUAAGCGCUGGAAACGGCGUCUGAUACUGGAUACGAGCAGCGACCGCAUGGUCAGCUGCUGGAAAGACUGGUUCGGUGAUGGAUGGACUCGCGGCCUAUCAGCUUGUUGGUGAGGUAAUGGCUCACCAAGGCGACGACGGGUAGCCGGCCUGAGAGGGUGACCGGCCACACUGGGACUGAGACACGGCCCAGACUCCUACGGGAGGCAGCAGUGGGGAAUAUUGCACAAUGGGCGCAAGCCUGAUGCAGCAACGCCGCGUGAGGGAUGACGGCCUUCGGGUUGUAAACCUCUUUUAGUAGGGAAGAAGCCUUCGGGUGACGGUACCUGCAGAAAAAGCACCGGCUAACUACGUGCCAGCCGCCGCAGUAACAC